rnacentral:rRNA from 1 species
CAGCCGUAAACUAUGCGCGUUAGGUGUACUGGUGACCACGAGUCACCGGGGUGCCGAAGGGAAACCGUGAAACGUGCCGCCUGGGAAGUACGGUCGCAAGGCUGAAACUUAAAGGAAUUGGCGGGGGGAGGCACCACAACGGGUGGAGCCUGCGGUUUAAUUUGGACUCAACGCCGGAAAUCUCACCGGAUAGGACAGACAAAUGAUAGUCGGGCUGAAGACUCUACUUGAUGAUCUGAGAGGUGGUGCAUGGCGUCAGUG